AUUGCUUGUUUACUCCCUGUGAGAAUUGCUUUCUAGAAAAAUUUAAUGGAAAGUCUGUCUCUCAUAUAACUUUCUACAACAGAAAAUUUGACUAGCACCAUAUUUCUUCCAGAUUAUAUAGAGGUGCAGUGCUUUAUUGUAUAUGUUGGCAUGUUUUGCUUCUAAUUUGACUCAAAUUUGAAUUGGUUUUUUUGCGUGUAAACUAAGUUAUUUUGGAGCCUUCCAAGUGUUUGAUAAAAUGUGUAAAAGAACAAUUAUGUUUCAUCGGGUAGGCCUUGUAUAAACUAUGACAGUUUUUUGGGGAAAAAAUAAGUAUCAAUACGUGUUUCCUCUUGCAUAUAAGUGAUCAGCUCUGGUUUUGUUUUGUAGGUUUAUGCUGGUCAUGAAUCCAAGGAAUAACCUUUGACCAAAACUACUAUGGAAUUUGCUUUGUUGCUUUGUGCAUCUAUCUUCGCUUGGUUUCUUAUACAAUUGUUCAAUAUAGGAGAUUGUUUAGCAUAAUUAAUCACAGAAGCGGCAGGGGUUCAUUGUGGAUCAGUGGAAGGGGUUGCCUUUGGUUUUGAUUUAUUGGUUUCUAGAGUUAGUUAUUUUAAGCUGCUUUUGCUGCUGUAUCGCAGGGUGUGAAGACGUCUUCAAAUUUCGGAGGUUCUUCGAAGUAGGUUUGUGGUGUUGCUGCUGAGUCCAAUAAGUCAGCUUUUUGAGUCCAACGAGUCUAUUCGGCUAUAGCUAUGGCUGGCUGGCCUACUAUACACUGCUACAGGUUUCUCUAUGUGGCAACAGGGAUGAUGGAGUCGUGGCAUCUUAACUGCUAAAUCAUUUUACGUGUAAGUUGUUUUUUGUGUUCUUUUUGGUUGUUGCUUUAGCUUUUUAUUUCUUGUUUCGUUUCUUUUCUAUUUUCCCUAGUUUUGGGCCAUCUUAGUUGAAUAGUCUGUCACUACCGUGGAACCAACUUCAUAUAAAGGUUCUGUUAUUUUUUGUCCUCGACAAUUGUUCCAGUUAUCAUGAUAAUUGCAGUUGUUUCAGUAGGCAUUUUAGCUCAUUAAGUGCGGGUUGAGCUGAUAAACUCUUGUUCUAAAUUAUAUGGGACAGGGUCUUGCGUGUAAGUUAGCUGUCAAUAUAUGAAUGACUGUCAAUAACUAUUUCCGUUCGAAAAGUUUUGAUACAUGAAUGACUCUCAAUAUCUACUUCGGUUCGAAAAGUUAAUUUCUACUUGUGACUUGUUAUUUGUGGGUAUGUCACUUAAAUGAGCAACAUAACACGUUAAUUCAUAUGACUUUCUUAUACUGAGUUUUUGAUGUUUCGUGUCUUGUGUCCUAAUUAGGGCUCUGCCAUUUGUUUGAGUGGCAUUUCCUGAGACCAAGGCAAAUUUGUAUAGUCAGAGAAAGUGGGGGGAAGCGACUCAGUAACUACUGAGAAUUUCCUGCUUGGAUUUUUUCAACCUUUGGCAGAGGCUGUACACAAUGAGCAAUGCAAAUUUUUGGGUUGAAGGAAGCUGGAGUAUAUAUAUAGGGUCAUUUAUUUGUAUUUUGUACAACCUUUUAGCAAUCUUUUUCUUUUGUACUUUGUAGUCUUUUUUGAAGGCUUUAAUGAAUCGAUUCGGUACUGGGUAU